rnacentral:rRNA from 1 species
GACGAACGCUGGCGGCGUGCUUAACACAUGCCAGUCGAACGGAAAGGCCCUGCUUUUGUGGGGUGCUCGAGUGGCGAACGGGUGAGUAACACGUGAGUAACCUGCCCUUGACUUUGGGAUAACUUCAGGAAACUGGGGCUAAUACCGGAUAGGAGCUCCUGCUGCAUGGUGGGGGUUGGAAAGUUUCGGCGGUUGGGGAUGGACUCGCGGCUUAUCAGCUUGUUGGGGGGGUAGUGGCUUACCAAGGCUUUGACGGGUAGCCGGCCUGAGAGGGUGGCCGGCCACAUUGGGACUGAGAUGCGGCCCAGACUCCUACGGGAGGCAGCAGUGGGGAAUAGUGCACAAUGGGCGGAAGCCUGAUGCAGCGACGCCGCGUGGGGGAUGACGGCCUUUGGGUUGGAAACCGCUUUCGCCUGUGACGAAGCGUGAGUGACGGUAAUGGGUAAAGAAGCACCGGCUAACUACGUG